rnacentral:lncRNA from 1 species
UGCUUUGUUUUUGAACGAAUGAUAAAAUGGAAAUUUAAGAAUAUUGAUCCUUUGUCCUACCCUCGGUAAAGGCAAAGAGGGGUAUUUUAAGGAGCUCCGGCCUAAAAAAUAUCAUGAUGGUCAAGUCUAGAUAUAAGAGACCUUUGGCCAAAUGUAUUGGACCCCCACCAAGUUCUGAACAUGAGGCAUGAUCUAUGAGAGUAUUUUGUAUGAUUGAGAUGCAUGAAACCUUGGUAGAUUGAUGAUUCGCAUGGUUAAACUAAUUAAUUUGAUGUUUAAUAUCACUACAGUAUUUGGUAUUGUUUAAUCAU